rnacentral:rRNA from 1 species
GACGAACGCUGGCGGCGUGCCUAAUACAUGCAAGUUGAACGCAACAAAGACACCAGAGCUUGCUCUACCGUCUUUGUUGAGUAGCGAACGGGUGAGUAACGCGUGGGUAACCUGCCUUAUAGCGGGGGAUAACUAUUGGAAACGAUAGCUAAUACCGCAUAACAAUAGAGAUUGCAUAAUCUUUAUUUGAAAGUGCCAACUGGUACACUAUGAGAUGGACCCGCGUUGUAUUAGCUAGUUGGUAGUGUAAUGGACUACCAAGGCGAUGAUACAUAGCCGACCUGAGAGGGUGAUCGGCCACAUUGGGACUGAGACACGGCCCAAACUCCUACGGGAGGCAGCAGUAGGGAAUCUUCGGCAAUGGACGAAAGUCUGACCGAGCAACGCCGCGUGAGUGAAGAAGGUUUUCGGAUCGUAAAACUCUGUUGUUAGAGAAGAAUGUUGAUUAGAGUGGAAAAUUAAUCAAGUGACGGUAUCUAACCAGAAAGGGACGGCUAACUACGUGCCAGCAGCCGCGGUAAUACGUAGGUCCCGAGCGUUGUCCGGAUUUACUGGGCGUAAAGUGUCCGUAGCCGGGUAUAUAAGUCUGUUUUCAAAUACCACGACUCAAUCGUGGACAGGGAAUAGAUACUGUAUAUCUAGAGAAUAUUGGAGGUUAGUGGAAUUUCCGGUGGAGCGGUGAAAUGCGUUGAUAUCGGAAAGAACGCCGAAAGCGAAAGCAGCUAACUAUGAUACUUCUGACGGUGAUGGACGAAAGCUUGAGUAGCAAACGGGAUUAGAUACCCCGGUAGUUCAAGCUGUAAAUUAUCCUCGCUAGGUGUCUCCAUAACUUUUGUUAUAGCAUGUGUUAUGAUAAAAGUUAUGGAGGUGCCGUAAGUUAACACGUUAAGCGAGGCGCCUGAGUAGUAUAUUCGCAAGAAUGAAACUCAAAGGGAUAGGCGGGGGAACACACAAGCAGUGGAUGAUCUAGAUUAAUUGGAUAAUAAGCCAAGAAUCUUACCCAGACUUGACAUGGAUUGUGUCUACGAUGAAAGUCGUAUAGCUGUAGCAAUACAGCGCUUUUCACAGAUGGUGCAUGGUCGUCGUCAGCUCGUGCCGCAAGGUGUCUAGUUAAGUCUAGUAACGAGCGCAACCCUCAUCGUUAGUUAAAUAUGUCUAACGAGACUGCCCGCGUAAGCGGGAGGAAGGAGAGGAUGACGUCAGAUCCUCAUGCCUCUUACGUCUGGGGCUUCAUAGAUCAUACAAUGGGUAGUUACAAUGAGAAGCGAUACCGCAAGGUGGAGCAAAUCUUCAAAGCUACCCUCAGUUCGGAUUGUAGUCUGGAAUUCGACUACAUGAAGUUGGAAUUGCUAGUAAUGGCGAAUCAGCCAUGUCGCCGUGAAUAUGUCCCUGUUCCUUGCACUCACCGCCCGUCAAACCAUGGGAGUUGGGGCUCUCUAAAGAUUCACCAUGUGGGUUAAGGAGAGAACCGAUGACUGGGGUU